CCAGUUGCCAACGGGUGAAGCCGGGCACUCUGGCGGGACUGCCAUCGACAAGAUGGAGGAAGUGGGGAUGACGUCAAGUCAUCAUGGCCCUUAUGUCCAGGGCGACACACGUGCUACAAUGGCCGGCACAGCGGGAAGCGAGGCAGUGAUGCCGAGCGGAUCCCUUAAAGCCGGUACUCAGUUCGGAUUGAAGUCUGCAACUCGACUUCAUGAAGCUGGAAUCGCUAGUAAUCGCAGAUCAGCCAAGCUGCGGUGAAUACGUUCCCGGGCCUU
rnacentral:rRNA from 1 species